rnacentral:rRNA from 1 species
GAUGAACGCUGGCGGCGUGCCUAAUACAUGCAAGUCGAACGUGAGCUUCAUUUCGGUGGAGUGAAAGUGGCGAACGGGUGAGUAACACAUGGCUGACCUGCCCUUCAGCGGGGGAUAACUACUGGAAACGGUGGCUAAUACCGCAUACGUUCGUGGGGAUUAGAAGCCCAUGAGGAAAGCGUAAGCACUGAAGGAGGGGGCUGUGACCCAUCAGCUAGUUGGUAGGGUAAGAGCCUACCAAGGCGAGGACGGGUAGGGGGCCUGAGAGGGUGACCCCCCACACUGGCACUGAGAGACGGGCCAGACUCCUACGGGAGGCAG